rnacentral:lncRNA from 1 species
AUGAACAGUGAACCGUUCGCAGCACACCGGUGUAACAUGAGGACUUGGUGGCCGUGCGAGGCGGGGACGGGGAGGUGGAGGAAGCGCGGGGGUGGGUGCCGCGGCCGGGAACGCUCCCCGGAGAAGAUGCCUCACGGGGAUGAAGCGCCCGCCACCACCUGUCCUCGGAGCCACGAUGGCUGCGCCCCUGCAUCGCCCGUUUGCUGCGAUGGGCUCAGGUUCUGCCUCUGGCCGCUUGGUGAGGGAACGAGGAGAAGCAACGGCUGUGAGAAGGGUGGGCGUCCCAGGAGCAGGCACCGCGGCAGGCCGGGCACCCCGCAGGCCUCUCGCGUGGGGCAGCAGCCCGAGCCCGCCUUCCUCAGAGCGGGAGGCCCGCCGUCAGGCCGGUGUCCCGGGGCCGUCAGCAUUUCCUGCUGCCUCCGCUUUAGGAAUCAGCUUUGCCCUCCGAGCCAGGCCGACGUCUGCAGGUGGGAAGAGCCCAUCCGUGCAGCAGGUGCCCACAGCGGCCCGGGGCCCCGGAGCACACAUGGUCCUCCUCCCUGGGAUACGGUUCUCCUUCCCAGGGUGUGCUCCUCCCCCCUGGACGUGGUCCUCCCCCCAGGACGUGAUUGUCCCCCCUGGACACACUCCUCCCCGCCCACACGUUCCUCCCCACCCAGGACAUGCUUCUCCCACCUGGACAAGGUCCUUCCUCCUGACAUGUUCCUCUCCCCCUGGACAGGGUCCUCCCCCCAGGACAUGCUCUUCCCUUCCAGGACACAGUCCUCCUGGACAAGGUCCUCCCUCCCGGGCACGAUCCUUCCCCCUGGACACGAUCCUCCCUCCUGGACACAGCCCUACCUCCAGGAUACAGUCCUCACCCCUGGACACGUUCCUCCCCCCGGACACAGACCUCCCUACCGGGUCAGCCCAGCCCACGAUGCUUGGGGGCCUCAGCUGGGAGGUGCUCCGGGCUCCUGGUUUGCAGGGCAGAGGGGGGCCGGGCCGGGGGUGUCCCCAGUACCCCCUCCCCCUCCAGCUACAACCGCACCCCCCCCCGGGGGCCUGGCGCCCGUGAGGAGCACCCGUUCUGCAGGACGGACGUGGGUGCUGCUCGCCUGCAGGCUGCCCCCGGCCCCGGGGCCGCGGGGUGUGGCCCCCCCGCCCCCCGCCCGCUUCAGAGGCCGAGGCCCCGCUGGCUGGCAGGACCGGCCCGGACCCCGCUGUGCUCUCUCCGCGAGCAGCUUCCCAUUAGGCCCGGCGGCCGCCCGACGCGCGGCGCCCUCAUUAUCCAGCAUGAGUCAGCAGCUCUGCCCCGGGCACCUGGGGCCUGGCCGCCGGCCCGCGGCCUCCGGGCUGCAGCGGGGGGCCCACGUGACCCUGCCCGGGCCGCCCUGCGUCCCCCGCCCGGGCGGCAGGGGUGAGGGAAGCUGA